UACAGAGGUCCCAAGCGUUGUUCGGAAUUAUUGGGCCUAAAGCAUCCGUAGCCGGUCCUGCAAGUCUUCCGUUAAAUCCAGCUGCUCAACAGAUGGGCUGCGGAGGAUACUACAGGGCUAGGAGGCGGGAGAGGCAAGCGGUACUUUAUGGGUAGGGGUAAAAUCCGUUGAUCCAUAGAAGACCACCAGUGGCGAAGGCGGCUUGCCAGAACGCGCUCGACGGUGAGGGAUGAAAGCUGGGGGAGCAAACCGG
rnacentral:rRNA from 1 species